rnacentral:rRNA from 1 species
AUUCCAGCUCCAAUAGCGUAUAUUAAAGUUGUUGCAGUUAAAAAGCUCGUAGUUGGAUUUCUGGUGGGAGCGAUCGGUCUGGCGCUUAGCGCGAGUACUUGCAUCGUCUCCGGCCAUCCUUGGGGAGAGUUUGUCUGGCAUUAAGUUGUCGGGCAGAGGAUCCUCAUCGUUUACUGUGAAAAAAUUAGAGUGUUCAAAGCAGGCUUAUGCCGUUGAAUAUAUUAGCAUGGAAUAAUAAGAUAGGACUUUGGUACUAUUUUGUUGGUUUGCGCACCAAAGUAAUGAUUAAUAGGGACAGUCGGGGGCAUUUGUAUUCAAACGACAGAGGUGAAAUUCUUGGACCGUUUGAAGACAAACUACUGCGAAAGCAUUUGCCAAAAAUGUUUACAUCA